GUGGGGAAUUUUGGACAAUGGGGGCAACCCUGAUCCAGCCAUGCCGCGUGCGGGAAGAAGGCCUUCGGGUUGUAAACCGCUUUUGUCAGGGAAGAAAUCCUUUGGGUUAAUACCUCGGAGGGAUGACGGUACCUGAAGAAUAAGCACCGGCUAACUACGUGCCAGCAGCCGCGGUAAUACGUAGGGUGCGAGCGUUAAUCGGCAUUACUGGGCGUAAAGCGUGCGCAGGCGGUUUUGUAAGAUCGAUGUGAAAUCCCCGGGCUCAACCUGGGAGAUGCAGUGGGGACUGCAAGGCUGGAGUGCGGCAGAGGGGGAUGGAAUUCCGCGUGUAGCAGUGAAAUGCGUAGAUAUGCGGAGGAACACCGAUGGCGAAGGCAAUCCCCUGGGCCUGCACUGACGCUCAUGCACGAAAGCGUGGGGAGCAAACAGGAUUAGAAACCCUGGUAGUCC
rnacentral:rRNA from 1 species